AAAUUCAGUAAUAAAUGUAUUUCAUAUCUAGAAAGUAUUCACAUAUAAUAAAAAUAUAUGAUGAAUAUUUAAUUUUAAAAAACAUUUAUUACAGUGAAAGAUACAUUGCUAUAUUAAUGUAUAGCAAAAUUCUCAAAAUACUCACCUUCACUUCAAACACAUUUAUCCCAUCACUAACUCACUUUAGGAGCAUUUAUGGAGUCCUCUUUCAUAUCUACAAGGUGUAAUAGAAAAUACAGUGAGUGCUAAGUACCAUCCAAAGGAAAGGAAGGCUGUUAAAAACAUUACAGUGUGUCCUCAACUACCUUAUUCAUCAGAUCUGGCACCAUAAAACUAGCUCUUCCCCAAAGUCAAAAUGACCAUGAAAGAUAAAUGUUUUACAACCAUGACAGUGCAACUACAGGCUCUCAUGAAAGAGGAUUUCCAGAACUGUUUCAGAAAGUGACAAGAAUGAUGGGAUAAGUGCUUUUGAAGUGAAGGAAGGUAAGUGUUUUGAGGGGAAUCAAGGGCACUGUGUCUUCUACUGUAACACAUUUUUUUUUAACAAUUUAAACAUUUGUUGUAUAUUUCAAUCAUACAACAUAUAGAAUAUACCUAGCUAUAUCUUUAUGCUUUAUAUAUAAAAUGUAUUUUAUACAAUAGUUUAAGGAGAGAUAAUGCUUAAUCUUUAUGAAUAAAUUUUUUGUCUUUCCCACUUGAUAUCUGUUGUAUUUUACAUCUUACAUUCUCAGUGAAGAUGCUUUUCUACUUUUCUGGUUGCUCUCAGUCCAUUUUGAUUAAUUACAGCCUCAGCUAUUACUAAAACUAAACUGAAAAGUUUUCCAAGGGAACAUCUGCCAAAUCUUCUAAACAUAACCCUUUCAACCUUUUACAUUACUGCCUGGCACAUAAACCUCAGCCUCAGGUUAGUGUAGGCUGCUAAGUCACAGGAAGUUCUCAUCAUUUUUCUCAUGACAUAAAAAUAGCCUCAAAAUUUUGUCAUUCAAGAAAUGAUUCCCCCAUAUUCUUUUUCCUUUUUAAACAUAGAACAGUUAUUUACUAGAUACUAAUUUGUUGGACAAUCCUUAAAGAGAGUAAUCAACAAAUUUAUUAUCAAUUGUGUUCUGAGAAUGACCAAAAACUAUAGAAAUAUUUAACAUCUAAUUAUAAAGAUAAGAUAACCAGAUGCUCUCUUAACUAAUGGUUAGGAAUGGAAGGUUCUCAAGUCAAGAUCUGAAUUUAAAUCAUUUAUUUAUUUAUUUAUUUAUUUAUUUAUUUAUUUUGGUUUUUUGAGUUAGGGUCUCUCUAUUAGUUCAGGCUGGCCUUGACUCACUAUGUAACACAGGCUGGCCUUGAAUUCAUGGCAGUCCUCCUGCCUCAGCCUCCCUAGUGCUGGGAUUACAGGUGUGCUCCACCACAUCCAGCCCACAUCACUCAUUUAUUAUCUAAGUGAAAGUGCACAAAUUAACUUCUCUAGGAUUCUCUUAGGAUUUUUUUAUUAUUUUUCAGUAGAAGAAUAGUGUAUCAGUUUAUCAUGACUGCCAUAAUUUAAUCCAUUUCUAGGGGCUAAAAGUCCAAGGUAUCAGUGGGUUUGAUUCUUCCAGGCCUCUCUGUUUGAACUUAAGGGUGAUAGCCUUCACACUUUGUGCUCACGUGGCUGCCUAUUUUCCACUAACCUGAAGCAGCUGACUUGGUCAAACGUUGGAAUGGAAGGCUCAAUUACAUCAUUUACAUUGCGAUACCUUGCCUGGUUGGAUCAAGAUCCUCCAAAAGGAUUUAUAUGCUCUUAAUUGGUGUCCAAUAUAAGGUGCUGCUUUCCUAUAACUAAAUUCAUGGGCCCAAGAAUCAAUUAUAGAAACAGGAGUGGCAUCCCUACUGAGCAACCAGCAAAACUUUUGCUUUUGGUCCCUGUGACCUUAUUCUCUGCUGGCCUAGAAGAUUUUUUCCAAAUGGGAAAAUUCUUCCACAGGACACACAACAGUGAUUCCAUUGAACCAGAAGUUAAGACUUCCACCAAGCCCUUUGGACCUCUUCAUGCCUCUGAAUCAGUAGGCAAAGAGGGGAAUUUUUGUACUAGCUGGAGUUGUUGAUCCUAGCUGCUACUCCACAAUGGAGCUAAAGGAGAAUGUGUGGGGAAUACCCUACCCAUAAAGCAUGUCUUACCAUUACCAUGUCCUGUGAUUCAGAUCAAUGGAAAACUACAACAACCCAAUAUAGAAAGGACUACUAAUGCCCCAUCACCUUCAGGAAUGAAGAUUUAGGUUGUCCUACCAAUGACAGACCCAUGACUAGCUGAGAUAAUUAUUGACAAAAAAAGGAAUUUAUUUAUUUAUUUAUUUUUGGUACCAGGGAUCAAACUCGGGACCUUGUGCUCACAAGGCAGGUGGCAGCACCACUGAGCUAAAUCACUGGGAUGAAAAAAGGAAUUUUAGAAUAGAUAGUAGAAGAAGGUAAUUAUAAAUAUGAGCUACAACUGCAUGAUCAGUUAUACAAAUGAAGACUGUAGUUGUCAUGAGUAUUUCAUUAUUUUGUUAUCCAUACCAUAUGUUUGUAUAUAUGUGUGCAUAAAUAUAUCUAUAAUAGCUAUAAUAUAUAUUAUAUAAUAUUUUGUGUUCUUUCCUUUUUUCUCUUUAUCCUGUGACAUAAGAUGUAUUGGUUUUAUAUCAUAAUAUUUAAGUAUUAAAUUUUACAUCACAGUGUUUAAGUUACAAGAUAUCAUAGAGAAGGUACUUAUAAAAAUAAACAUUGGGCCGGGGAUUUAGCUCAGUGGUUCCACAGCCUGCCUCGAAAGCGCUAGGACCCAAGUUCAAUCCCCAGUAACACCCCCCCCCCCGCCAAAAAGAAUAAAAAUAAACAUCAUCCAAGGAUUUUGGAGUAGCUUUUUGACACAGAGCAGUCAGACACUGCCUCGUUGAGAGAUGGAUGCAUUAACAGAGAUUUGAUAGAGGAAGCAAGUACAGGGGAGAGAGCAUCCCAGGGGAAGGAAUGACCAAUUAAUGCAAAUGUCAUAUGCCAAAAUGCUGAUACUUUGAAGAAGAGUGAGGAAGUCAGUAUCGCUGGAGCAUCAUGUGAGAGGGUGAGGAGGAGGGAGGGCAUGACUUCCGAGCAGUUGCAGGUGGAGGAUUGGGUGAUAUACCCUCUGCCUUUCAACACAAAUUAUGUUGAACAAAAUUAUUUUUAAAUUGAAUAUUUAGAAAUGAAAUAUACUUUAAGUCUGCUCAUCCUCAAAAUGAUUACAAAGAUAUAUUUGUAUAGUUUAUGGCUUUGGAAAUAUAUAAUGUAUAUUGAAGCAGAUUGUCACAUCAAAAUUACUCCAAAAAUCGUACCUAUGAUUUUUAUUUAAGAUAUGUGUUAAUCUCCAUACUUCACAGUUUCUGAUUUAUACACCAUUUUAUUCAAUAUUAGACAAAUGCCUUUUGAGUAUGUAUUCAUGCCAGGCCCUCUCAUCAGUGGCAGUUAAUGGUGAGGAGAUGGUCAUCUCUGAUCACAAGCAGUCAACAGCCAACACAUUCCUAAGAGCGGACACAGAAGUGUGAACGCUAAAAUAGCACUUAGAGAGAAACUUAGGUGUCAGAUCAUUCAAAUGUGAAAAAUUCAAACCAAGCAGUUACAUUUAAUUUUGUAUUCCUGAUUUGUAUUUUCAUUAUAUGUGGCAAAAGUUAUUCUAAAUAGUUAUUUUGCAGCUUUCUUUUAGACACUAUUAUAACAAUGCUUACUUUAAACCAAAUAUGUCUACUAAGCGCCAAGGAUCAAAUGUAUGUUAUAUAACCUACAGUGUCCUUUUAAAAUAAGAUAACUGGUUUUGACCUUAGUGAGGAUUAUUGCAUAAUCAUGGAAAUAUUAACAAUCAGAGAGAGACAGAGACUUUAUUACGGAUUUGGCAGCGUUAAUUUAUUCCUUUUAGCAUUCAGAAAUCUUUCAUAAAAGUAGAUAACAAAGAGUCUAAUGUAUAAUCUUGUUGUGAGUGGGUGGUUAUACAUUGAGAUAUCUGACACCCAGUUGUUAGAAGAUCAGAAAAAUGCAAAGCCCAGCUGAAAGGCUAAUUGUAUUUUCUGUCACAUGUGGCGCUGCAGUAAAAGAGAGGCACACUGUGUGGGGAACACUCUUUCUGAAGGCUGAGAGCCAUGCAUUUUGCUGCAUGUCCAAACAAAUCUUACUUAGAAGAAUAAAUUUGUUUCCACCUUCCUCACCUUCAUUCAUCAUGUAAUAAUCCAUUCACCAAAAGAUCUGUAAAAAUAAAGAAGAGGAAAAUAAUUCAUUUAUGUGCCAUUCCAACAAUCAUCGCCUCCUGUUCUAGUGACAUUGAAUUGAUUCAGUAAUUCUCAAACUUCUGUCUUUUACUUCUUCAUUUUCCCCUAUUUAACUGCUAUGUCAAGUUUCUAGGUGAAACCAUCUCCUCCAGUUUCAGACACUUAUGGGUCAUUGUCAUCAUCACCACAUUUGCACUGAAGAGCCGUCAACACUCUAUUUUCAAGCACAUGAGCUUUUAAGAAGCCUGUGUCCCCAGAUAAAUCUGAAAGAGAACUUGGUAACUAUGAUAUCGAUUGGGAUAUGAUGAGUUCACAGUAUUUCAACUUCUUCCACAGUUAUUUCACAAAAACAGGUGCGCAGUGUUAGGAUUGGUGGCGCUCUUCCGACAAAGUCACGUGGGAAAGGGAUACUGUCAAUGCCACUCUGCAGAGGUAGCAGGAAGCACUGCUUGCCACCAGCCACAGGAGCUCUCUCACUCUUAGAAAUGUUGUGGAGCUGCACAGAGGAAGAAUAUCAGUGUCAACAGAUGUGGUGAUCUACCAGUAGGACUCUUGGAACCCGUAACAAUGCAUAUGGAUCUCUUGGGUGGCCUUUUCUCCUGUCUCUGUGAAGCCAUUUCACAUCCUAGGCAAAAUUACAGACAAUGUUAACUGUUAUUUUCUAACUAAAAUUAUGUGGGUUGUUGGACAUUGAAUUUCGAUUGUAGUUUACCCACACUUCACUUUGGCCCCCGCACUGUACCUACUGUGAUAUUUUCUUUCUCAUGUUGAGUCCAGCCUGCAUUGCCUCCUUCAUAGUAAAAUCAGAGUUAAGGGGAGAAAUUAGUGAAUGUGCAACUGGGUCACAGCUUUAAACCUCAAGAAUUCAUACAAAUAAAUCACGCUGUUCUUCUAAGUUAAACUUUGUCUAAGUCUGUUGAUCCUCCAAAAUAACUUUCUAGACAAAAAAAAAUCCACUUUUGUCCUUAGGAAAAUUUUCUAAGCAGGUUCAUUGGUACUGCAGUGCUUACUGACACUGCAAAGGCAGUAGGUGCCAAGGUAUAUUUUAUAUAUCUAGCAUGAAUAUACCAAUCUAUUGAAUAGUUCCUAUUUCAGUUUGUAGUAGUCAUUGGGUAAAUAUUAGGUCAAUGUCUUACUAGUGUGUGUUUAAUUUAGUAUAUGAAUAUACUAUAUAUAUAUACUAUAGUAUAUGAAUAUAUAUAGUAUAUGAAUAUACUAUAUGUGAAUAUACUAUAUAUAUAAUUUAGUAUAUGAAUACAGUUUCUGAUGCAAGAGAAAGGUGAUUCUAAGUUCCAUCUGUGAUUUCCUUCCUUGCUUAUUCUUAUGUUUAUACGUCAUGGACAACUUCAAGUACAACUAUCUUUUCUACAACACCUUUGAUCUAAAAGCAUUAAUAUUAUUAUAACUUCAGAGUCCCUUGAUGAAAAUCAUUAUAGGAAAAGAGAUUCACCAGUAUUUUCUUUGAGCUCUGCAGAACAAAUAGUUCCAACAUAAGACUCCUGUUCCCAGACUGGAAUUGUGGUUCCAUAUGCACCCAGUUCAUCCAUUUUUGAUGGUAUGGAGAGUCAGUUCAGUAAAACAAUCUGAAAGCUCCAUAUUAUAUAAUGGUCCAAACAAUUUAACAAAAUUUCCGGAGAAUUUGAAACAACUAAGGUGUUAAUUCCAGAUAAAUAGCUAAUUUUACCUGUAGG
ensembl:lncRNA